UCUCUAGUUUGCUGCCUCCGCCACCCCUCGCUCCGCGGCCCUCUUACACCGACGCCCGCAACCUCCACUGUCCUCCCCUGCUCGGCCGCCACGACCUUGGCGGCCUCUACUCGGCCGCCUUCCCUGGCUUGACCCCGACGUCCACUGCUCGCCCGCCUCCCCUGGCUCGGCUCCGGCGACCUCAAGGUACCUGCUCGGCGGCCCUCGCCUGCUCCGGCCGUCGGCGCCCCUCGCCUGGCUCGGCCCCGGCGACCUCGACGUCACCGCACCUGCCGGCCCUUCUCCGCCGACCACACCACCUGGCCCUGCUCCAACGACCGAGCCACGCCCUGCUCCGUGAUCGGCUUCAACCACGCCGAUUACUGUAAUGGGUAGACUCGGCAAGGCUUCCGAGCUGAAUAUUCGCAUACAAUCUUCUUUUGACACUGAUGAUUCGGGAGGCAAAAAAUGUUCCCAAUGACUUUGCUGAAGAUGAUUCAUACCCUAUUUCCCAGGAUCUGUUGAUGGAUGAUGAUAAUUUUGUUAAAGGUUUGUAUGAUUUCAAUGCGACCCAUAAAGUGAAAUGUCUGAAAUGGAAGCAAACAUCUGUUGGUGCUAGAAAUGAGGGAAAGGCAAGGCCCCUGAAGUCUCAAUCCCUAUGAAGAAUGCUGGAGAAGCUUAGACAAAGCAAAAUUGGGGUGAGGGAUGCUCUGCUGUGUUGCAUCUGCCAUUGUUCCUUCCAGCACCAACCUGUUGAGCCAUGAGAUCUGAACCAAUGAAUUCAGAUAACAUCUACCAUGUUUACGGAUCACUACAUGUCCCGUUGGAACAAUGUGAAAUCCCUUUUUCGGACGAACAACAGGUUUGCUACUUAAUUCUCAAAAAAGUCGUUCUUUCGCAUCACCAUGCUGUGGAACCAUGAGGUCUGAUCCAAUAAAUUCAGAGAACGUUUACUAUGUUUAUGGAUCACUAUAUGUCCUGCUGGAACAAGGUGAGAUCCUUUUUCAGUAACCAUUUCAUUUCAACACGCAUCAUGCUUUUCCGAAUAUAACUGAACAUCUGAAGCAGCCAUGGUGUACUGGUGUAUAUUUUUUAACAUAGCCAGUCAGCACCUCCCUGUUUGAUUGCUAUAUACUUCCUUGUGAGAAAAUUAUAAGGGCAGCCCGGUGCAUGUAGCUUCCGCUUGUGCAGGGUCCGGGGAAGGGUCCGGCCACUUUCUUGCUAGAAAAUUAUAAGGGAUUUUCUUAAAUACUCCAAAAGAAAGAAUGAUGCUCUAGCAUUCAUCUAUUGUCAUUUGUUCUCUUCUAUACAUGACAUUGAUGCCCUAUGUUUGGGUAAUAUGUAUAGAAUUAGUUCUGUUCUACAAGGCCCUGAUAUCGUCGCAUUGAUGAGUUGAUAGAAGCAGAAAUGAUCUUAUAAAAGUUUACAGAGGGAGUACAUGUGGUAGGAGCUAGGGCCCUACCGGAUCUAGGGCGUAGGUUGUAGGGGAAGGAGGGGGAAGGGCGAGGGCUGGUGCGCAGCGGCCGGCGGCGUGGCGCCGUCCUUGUGACGGGAGCGGCGGCGGCGAAGGCAGGAGGCGGCUAGGGUUUAGGUCUCCCGGCUCC